UACGUAGGGGGCAAGCGUUGUCCGGAAUCCUUGGGCGUAAAGCGCGUGUAGGCGGUUCGAUAAGUCUGCUGUGAAAGUCCAGGGCUCAACCCUGGGAUGCCGGUGGAUACUGUCGAGCUAGAGUACGGAAGAGGCGAGUGGAAUUCCCGGUGUAGCGGUGAAAUGCGCAGAUAUCGGGAGGAACACCAAUUGCGAAGGCAGCUCGCUGGGACGUCACUGACGCUAAGACGCGAAAGCGUGGGGAGCAAACAGG
rnacentral:rRNA from 1 species